rnacentral:rRNA from 1 species
ACGAACGCUGGCGGCGUGCUUAACCCAUGCAAGUCGAACGAAGAGCGAUGGAAGCUUGCUUCUAUCAAUCUUAGUGGCGAACGGGUGAGUAACGCGUAAUCAACCUGCCCUUCAGAGGGGGACAACAGUUGGAAACGACUGCUAAUACCGCAUACGAUCUAAUCUCGGCAUCGAGGAUAGAUGAAAGGUGGCCUCUACAUGUAAGCUAUCACUGAAGGAGGGGAUUGCGUCUGAUUAGCUAGUUGGAGGGGUAACGGCCCACCAAGGCGAUGAUCAGUAGCCGGUCUGAGAGGAUGAACGGCCACAUUGGGACUGAGACACGGCCCAGACUCCUACGGGAGGCAGCAGUGGGGAAUCUUCCGCAAUGGACGAAAGUCUGACGGAGCAACGCCGCGUGAGUGAUGACGGCCUUCGGGUUGUAAAGCUCUGUUAAUCGGGACGAAAGGCCUUCUUGCGAACAGUUAGAAGGAUUGACGGUACCGGAAUAGAAAGCCACGGCUAACUACGUG